CAAAACAAGUCCACCGUGGGCUUUGAAAAACGCUUUCCUUGAUAAAAUUUAAGCGUUUUAUAAGAGGAUGCCGGGGAAGGUUUUCCGGUUUAUCCCGGAGGGCUUGUAGCUCAGUUGGUUAGAGCGCGCGCUUGAUAAGCGUGAGGUCGGAGGUUCAAGUCCUCCCAGGCCCACCAGUUUAUCCAUUACUUUCAUAAGUGCUUUUAAAAAAUAAGUACUUCUAAAAAGAUUGCUUCUAAAAAGCUUAUCAAAAUUGGCAGGCUUAUUGCUUUUGUGUGAGUAAUCCAAAGUUAAAGCAAAUUAAUGGCAAAAAAACAGUUCAAAUGCUAAAUACUAAGGAGUCAAAAUUCCUUGCAAAGUGAUUUUUACAGCGUCCAUUUGGUUGAUAUAAAUUCCAAAUGCUCAUAGACGUCAAUGCCUAUAUGAAACUAUCGGUUCAAUCAUAUCGCUUUGAGUUAUAUAGAUUUUGUAAUCCCUCUUUUGAUCGUUUUAAACGCUUUAUUCUGAUUUAGGGGCCGUAGCUCAGCUGGGAGAGCACCUGCUUUGCAAGCA
rnacentral:misc_RNA from 1 species